rnacentral:rRNA from 1 species
AGUGAACGCUGGCGGUAGGCCUAACACAUGCCAGUCGAACGGCAGCACAGUAAGAGCUUGCUCUUACGGGUGGCGAGUGGCGGACGGGUGAGGAAUACAUCGGAAUCUACUUUUUCGUGGGGGAUAACGUAGGGAAACUUACGCUAAUACCGCAUACGACCUACGGGUGAAAGCAGGGGAUCUUCGGACCUUGCGCGAUUGAAUGAGCCGAUGUCGGAUUAGCUAGUUGGCGGGGUAUAGGCCCACCAAGGCGACGAUCCGUAGCUGGUCUGAGAGGAUGAUCAGCCACACUGGAACUGAGACACGGUCCAGACUCCUACGGGAGGCAGCAGUGGGGAAUAUUGGACAAUGGGCGCAAGCCUGAUCCAGCCAUACCGCGUGGGUGAAGAAGGCCUUCGGGUUGUAAAGCCCUUUUGUUGGGAAAGAAAAGCAGCAGGUUAAUACCCCGCUGUUCUGACGGUACCCAAAGAAUAAGCACCGGCUAACUUCGUG